GCCCAGAGUAUUGACAGCUGUUGUUUUAGGAGAUUGGGUCCUUUCGGUACUGUCACUGGCUGUGUCGUGUUCCACAGCUAGUGUGGCUGAUUUCCUGAUUGCUUCUGGUAAUGUAUACUGCAGAGAUAACAUAUGCCUACGGUAUCAACUCUCUGCUGCCAUGGCUUUCUUGACUUGGAUUUUGUCAUCGGCGUCUUUGCUCUUGAAUCUUUGGCUUCUUCCUACAUUAUAUUAGUUGCAUCUCUGGUCCUUGUCCCCUCCUGGUUGUCUCUUGAUUUAACGAAUAGGAAGUAACAAUUGUGACCGAUCUAUUCGGCUAUGAUCUCUGAA
rnacentral:misc_RNA from 1 species